GGUAACAUGGCCGAGUUGGUCCAAGGCGUCGCAUUCAAGCUGCGAUCUCGAAAGAGGCACGCGUUCGAAUCGCGUUGUUACCA